rnacentral:rRNA from 1 species
UGGGGAAUAUUGGACAAUGGGCGAAAGCCUGAUCCAGCCAUGCCGCGUGUGUGAAGAAGGUCUUCGGAUUGUAAAGCACUUUAAGUUGGGAGGAAGGGCAGUAAGCGAAUACCUUGCUGUUUUGACGUUACUCGCAGAAUAAGCACCGGCUAACUCUGUGCCAGCAGCCGCGGUAAUACAGAGGGUGCGAGCGUUAAUCGGAUUUACUGGGCGUAAAGCGUGCGUAGGCGGCUAAUUGAGUCGGAUGUGAAAUCCCCGAGCUUAACUUGGGAAUUGCAUUCGAUACUGGUUAGCUAGAGUGUGGGAGAGGAUGGUAGAAUUCCAGGUGUAGCGGUGAAAUGCGUAGAGAUCUGGAGGAAUACCGAUGGUGAAGGCAGCCAUCUGGCCUAACACUGACGCUGAGGUACGAAAGCAUGGGGAGCAAACAGG